CCUACGGGGGGCAGCAGUGGGGAAUAUUGCACAAUGGGCGAAAGCCUGAUGCAGCAACGCCGCGUGAGCGAUGAACGCCUUCGGGUCGUAAAGCUCUGUCCUAAGGGACGAAUAUUGACGGUACCUCAGGAGGAAGCCCCGGCUAACUACGUGCCAGCAGCCGCGGUAAUACGUAGGGGGCUAGCGUUAUCCGGUAUUACUGGGCGUAAAGGGUGCGUAGGCGGCCCUUCAAGUCAGAGGUGAAAGGGUACGGCUCAACCGUAGUAAGCCUUUGAAACUGUGGGGCUUGAGUGCCGGAGAGGAGAGUGGAAUUCCCGGUGUAGCGGGGAAAUGCGUAGGUAUUGGGAGGAACACCAGUUGCGAAGGCGGCUCUCUGGACUGUAGCUGACGCUAAGGCACGAAAGUGUGGGGAGCGAACAGGAUUAGUUACCCGAGUAGUC
rnacentral:rRNA from 1 species